GCGCCGUUGCGCCUGUCCGGAAGCUGGGAAAGUGGGCACGCAGACAAAGCUACACCCCAGAAGUUUUGGCGACGAGCUGGAGUCUUCCUGGCGCGGAGAAAGUGCACGGAUUCCGCACCAGGGGAAAAACACUUCUUUGCCAUAUCAGAUGUUUCUUGAAGUAUGGAGGGGGUGCCACUAACAUAACACUGGAUACUCUAUUCCAGAGCUGCUAGCAAGUUUCCUGAUGUGGCAUUCUGAGAAGAAAAUCUACCUUACCAGUGGCCCCAGGAAAUCCCACAAAAGCAGUGAAAUCAAUACUGGAGAAAUGGCCUUACGAAGAUGGGAGCAGGGCUCCCCUAACUGACUGCUGACUUACCCAAGAGGGAUAAGCAUAUCCCAAGUUGAUCUCAGUGAGUAAGCCAAAAGGGUUAAGGCAAUGGUCUGCAUACAUUUUGCUAACAUACCUCCCCAAAAUAAUUUGUAAGUUGACAUGUAAAAUUUUUUUCCUUAGUUGGCAAAUGACAUGAUUUCUGGUGUAAUAUGAAUAUUUUCAAAUAAAAAGGGCUGUGUCACUUAAAAUGCAUUUAAUGAAAUUAAAUCCCAUAGAAACUGAAUACUCAUCAUCACUGAUAUGGAAAUUGUACAUUACUCUUUUUUCCCUUUGAAUUUGUAUUUUCAUCUACUUCCCCAUAGAAAUUUUAAAAAUAUAUUUUAUGCUCAAAUGUAUUUUAUUGCUU
ensembl:lncRNA